UACGUAGGCAGCAAGCGUUGUUCGGAGUUACUGGGCGUAAAGGGUGUGUAGGCGGUUGUUUUAAGUUUGGUGUGAAAUCUCCCGGCUCAACCGGGAGGGUGCGCCGAAUACUGAGUGACUAGAGUGCGGGAGAGGAAAGUGGAAUUCCUGGUGUAGCGGUGAAAUGCGUAGAUAUCAGGAGGAACACCGGUGGUGUAGACGGCUUUCUGGACCGUAACUGACGCUGAGACACGAAAGCGUGGGUAGCAAACAGG
rnacentral:rRNA from 1 species